rnacentral:rRNA from 1 species
ACGUUAUGGUGGGCACUCUAAGGAGACUGCCGGUGGACAAACCGGAGGAAGGUGGGGAUGACGUCAAGUCAUCAUGGCCCUUACGGCCUGGGCUACACACGUGCUACAAUGGUCGGUACAAAGGGUUGCCAAGCCGCGAGGUGGAGCUAAAUCCCAUAAAACCGAUCGUAGUCCGGAUCGCAGUCUGCAACUCGACUGCGUGAAGUCGGAAUCGCUAGUAAUCGUGAAUCAGAAUGUCACGGUGAAUACGUUCCCGGGCCUU